GAAGAGGCGAAGAACAGACUUUAAUAAUGGGACUGUUUCAUAUUUGACAGGAUCAAUGACUGUCUGGUGGUGAAAAACCAUUUGUGCUUGUUGGAACUGUUUCUUGUAUUAUAGUCAGUUGGAGCAACUGGCAAUGACUCAAUAAACUUUUCCUUGGUUAAUUUUAGAUGUGUUAAAAUUUUUGCCAUUUCCACCAAGUUACCCAUACCAUUUGUUUGUAGCUUUAAAUAGCACUGAAACAUGACAUGCAUACUGUAGUCCACAUUGCUGCAAAAUGCCUUACUACGGAUGUAAAUAUAACACAGAUACAUGUACAGGCAUAAUACAGAUAGUGUCUCACACAAAUAGUGUACAGCAUUAUACCCAGGCAUUCACCAAGUCAAUGUUGAAAAUAAUAGUUCUGUGUAAAUUUUACCCCACCCAGGCCAUCCCAUUAAAAGCAGCACACCCAUGUCAAUAGUUGCACACAGUGUAUUAAUUAUGUUAUGGUAUGAACUACUUUGCAUAAUUAUAUAUUUGAACAGCCAGGCUGACCUGGUUCCCAAUCUGAAAAAACUUUCUCCCUAUAAACACAAACUGGGCUGGCGUGGAUGGAAGUUCUAAGAAUGCUGCUGUGAGUUAUGUAGAAAAACUGUUAAAACACUGUAAACCCACUACACUUGUGCUGUUUAUAAAGCAUAUACAAUCACAAUAAAUUUGUUAUUCAUAUA